CUGUGGCAGUGACUCUAAAUGGCUAGAGACAGACAUUCAAAAAGCCUGAGCCUGAAUUGAUUCAAUCUCUGAAGAUUAGUCUAACUUGCAAAGCUUGAACCUAUUUGGAAGUGGGUAGACAUUUCCUUUUCAUUCCAGAAAUGCAG